rnacentral:lncRNA from 1 species
AGGAGGCCUGUUGGCACCAGACCAAUGCUGCGAGGUGUGUGAGGAUUAGAACCGCUCCAUCCCUCAGCUGCCAGACCUGGAAAGCAGGAUGGAGCUGGAGUGAGGCGGAGGGGCUGCCAGCUGCUGACCGGCACGUGAGACGCUGGUGAUUCGUGGGUCACUGAGCUUUGACUGGGGCACAGCCCUCAAGGGCAGGAUUGGGUGCAACGCUCACCCUACCCCCACUGAGACCAUCAUCAGCCCCCAAAAGGGCCCCCAGGGGCCUCUUAGUCCUGGCCUUUCUCUAGAGUGGCUGCCAGGGCAGGGGUCGGGAGAUGCACUCAGGGAGAGGGGCAGGUUUGGAAUCUCCAGCCUUGGCACAGCAGCCCUGUCGGUACCACCCAACUCUGUGGCACAUGAGCCUUACUGCUAAGCAACAUGGUAGCCAUACUGUAAGAGGCCUGGGUGAACAGAGAGGACUGUUCCUUGAGAUGGGUGCUAUGGCUGUCCCACCCACUUCUCUCCCACAAUCGCAUUGAGAUGACGUCUGAGCUUUCACACCUCUCUGGGCUCUGACUCAGGUCAGGGUGCCUGAUUGCAAAUCCUGGCCUUGCCACUCAUCCACCAUGACCUUGUGCGGUUUCCUUGUGCCUCAGUUUACCUGUCUAUAAAAGAGGGAUUGGGACUACAGCACUUGCCCCCACAGGUGCGCCAGCACACCUGGCACAUGGUAAAUGCUCAGGAUAUGUCAUUUUUCUCAGCGAUGCAAGGAUCCUUCCUUCUUUUCCCACAUUUCCGUUCCCACCAUCCCCUCCCCCCAAGGACCCACCAGUGCCAAGAUAGACACAAAGUGGUUAUCUAGCCUGUUGAGGGGGCUUCGGCCCCCCAGGGAACAGCUGGAGCCUGAAGGUCCCAAGCCGAGCCUCCCAGGACUGGUGUGUCUCAUCACAGAGUGGCAUUUCAGGGUUGAUGACACUUGGCCUUGUGCCAGAGGGUGACCUGUGUAAUCCCUCUUUACUCUCUGUGACUCCCAAUCCAGAGAUGAGAGGCCUUCACAGAAAUGCUGACUUGGGCUAGAGCCCUUUGUCCCAAGGCUCUGGGGCCCAGCCCAGGGAGCCCAAGUCUUCAUCCUGAUGUGAGGCCCUGCUUGUUGUCUUCCUGCUUCCCUCAGAGGCAUCUUUCCUCAGGCCCCACUGCUCCCAGGUACCCAGACGUAGGCCCAGGUGAGCCCUGGGGUACCUCUGCACUUCAUUCAGGCUCUGAAACCAGAGAGCGGGCCUCGACCUCCCUUUGUGCUGUAGGAAGUCCUGGCUUCCUGCUAUCAGCUGCGUGACCUUGGGGGAGUCCUUUCACUUCCGUGAGAAAUCUCAUCUGAGAAGGAGGAUAAUUAUGCCAACAUUGCUGAGAAGGCUGUUAUGAGGAUGCUUAGAAGCCAGGAAUAUUUUAAGUGAUACAGCUUGGUGAGAGUCGGCUGUGUACCAGGCACUACGCUCCUUAAACACAUAUUUCUCCACAUGGUAAUCCCAUGAGGAGGUGUGUUUAAUGCCUCAUUCUCCAGAGGCUCAGAGUGGUUAAGAAACCCAUAGAGCUGUAAGUGGUGGAGUAGGGGUUUGAACCGAGGGAGGUACCUAGGAAUGAAGUGGUACAUGAUGCCUUAAGACCAGGGGCAGAGCUACAGGCGGGCUCAAGGUGGGUGCUCAGGAAACAAGCCCCAUUUCUGCCGGGUGGCAUUGGUCCAGCUUCCAAGCCGGGCUGCCCUCGGGAGCCCGUGGGUGGCCCCCAUAGGCUGGCGGCCUACCCCUCCUUGGAGGGCUUGCCGGCAACUCGAUAAGGCUAGGGGAGCCCACUGCUAAUUGUGAGGUAACCUUUGAAAUUCUCCUUCACGGUGGGUUCUCUUUUUGGAUGUUUUUCAAGGUAAUUCAUUCCCUUUCCAGAAAUUGCCAGUGGAGGAGCAUUAGGCAGCUGGUAAUUAAUCAUAGGAGCGGCUUGGAGUUUAUUCCU